rnacentral:lncRNA from 1 species
CCAAAUAAAAUAAUUUCUGUUGCUUGUCAUAUCAUUUCCUCUAAUAGCUGUGGUGGUUUCUGGGAGACUCCCCUGGCCCGAGAAGUCCUCUCAGAAACAACUUUGCUCCUCCUCAAGACAACCUCAACUUUUCUUCUCAGCCUCGGCUCUUCUUUCCUCCAAUACAGCAAUCCUAUCAUCUCGAGAGGUGGCUAUUCCCCUUCUCACGACUCCCAAGUUUUCCAGAAGCAGCACUUCCCUGACUUAACAACUUCUGCUUUUGUUAACACGUCCUGCUGCGCUGCCUGCCUCUCCCUGGGCGUGCUUCAGGGUGCGGACACUCGCCCUGAGAGCCGGGUAGGACACACAACGUGUGGCAUGAAGCCUACCCUUCACUGCGGACACCUUGGAGAUGCCGGGGUGACCCCAAUGGAGAUGUACAGGGCAAGCCCCUCCAUUGGGCCUGGGGGUGUGGGGGACGAGCAGGGCACAGCUGCGCUCCCACCUGGGGCCCAGCAAGGACUCUGUUUGCCUUCUCUGGCUGCCGGGGGCUCGGAGGGCUCCACGUUUUCUGCACAUUCUCCAGUAGGAAUAAACCCUCCAGAGUUUCAGGCUCUGUCAUACCCCAUGAAACCGCCUCAACACCCAACUCCACGCCAGACGGGUGCGUGCCUGCCCGCUUUCGGCAAUGCCACUCACCGUGCAAACGGGUGCGUUGGCUAGCCAGGCUAAUUGGUUUAUGGAUAACAUUAAUUACCAUGUUGCUCAUUAAUGGAUGAAAUCUUUAUUGGUGCCAUUGAUCAGCAGACUUGUUAGCUGGCCUCCUAACCAAUGGCGGAUAUAACAAGCUCUCUUAUUGGCAUAUCAAUUAAUGCAAUCAAUUCCUGGCCAGAGGCUGCCAUUCGCUUCCCUGGUUGUUCAGGGGUAGGAGACAGAGCCAUGUCAAGCAUGCCUUUCCUUAGAGUUCCCCCUUCUCAACUGACUUCCAGGUGCUUCCUCGGCCACUUGGGGCUCCCCUAUCCAAAAAAAAAAAAAAAUCACACCUACCCUUCCAUGUGAAAAAUCACCUUUCCAUCUUCCACUAGUGACAAAAUUGCUACUCUGUCAGGAUACGUAAGCUAGGAAGAAAAUGGAAGGACCUGGGACUAUUAAAGUAAACAGGAGGGCUGGAGGAAUCUGGAGAUGUUUCCAGAUUAGACACUAACGGAAAUGAUUUAGUCCCCAGACCGGCCUCUGGACAACGAUCACAUAAGCUUGAAAACACAAACCAUAGGCAUCAACCCUCUGCCCACCCAGGGAAGCCUUCCCAGACCUCCCAACCUCCUCCACACACAAUCACAUCUGCUGACCGCACCGGACGGCACCCGUCUCACUCAGAGCCUCCGACUGACGGAUCCGGCAGGAAAACUUCACCCGCUCACCUUGAAUCCCAAGCUUUGGUACCAAAAAGGACUUUUCCCAUCAGGGACCACAACAUGCCUGGUAAAUCUGUGCACACAGGGGCACUCUAAUGUUCGUUGAAAUGCACACAAUGAAUCUCUUCGAUAGCACUCAUAUCCCUAUAAAGUCACAGCUGGGGAAAAACUUCUCUAGGCAGCAACACAUCUUUAGUUAAGUUGUUUUAGAAAAGGCUCAGGGUCUGGGUGUGGGUGGAUUCCAGGCCCAGGGAUUUACAGCUGGACUUUACUGAGGACCAGCGAACACCAGGGCAUUAGCACUACAGCAAAGGGCAUGAGCCGACAGACCAUGGCUUUGGAAAGGUAAGUGGGGAACGCCUGACACCCCCCCCAAGGUGGGCUUUAAAAGGAUCACCUGCAGUUUGCCCCCAAAGGGAGAAGCUUGAAAUAUUAUUCUAGAUUUGUUUCUAAAAGCCAAAAAUAAAUUACAUGUAAAAAGGGAAGAAAAUCACUACUCUACUUGGCGGUGCCAAUGCUAUUAAUAAACUUUGCAAGCACAAACAUUUAAUUCAAGGCGAGAGGGUAGAAGCAGCAAGAAUUGGUAAAAAAGCAGACAGGGUGGGAAAGCAAGCUGCUUUGGGUAGAGCGGUGACAGAGAGCGCGGGAGGGUGGCCGAGGCCACAGCUCAGGGACAUCAUCCUUAGCAUUUGGGAGCACAGCUCAAGGUUUCUAGGAUAAACAGUAGAAAUACUUCCUCUGAUUUAUAAAUAGAAAGUGACUUCUUUCCCUACGGACCAUCCGUACCUUCCAUAUUCACAGGGCAGAGGCAAGUCCUGAACAGACCGAGGCAGGGGCCACAGGGAGAUGAUCCAGCCAGGAGCCAAGGGGCUUCAGAGAGGAGACCAGUGCCUCCUUAACCUGCAAAGUCCUUCUCCAUGGAGCAGAAAGCUGCACAAUCUGCGCCAUGGUCACCCGACACAGGUGACGGGGAGAUACCCAGACGAGGGGCCUGUGGCCAACCACUCAACACCACAGUGAUUCUUGCUAUAAGAGCAGCCCUGGGGUCUUCCAACACCAGGAGUCUCCAGGUGCCUCUAAGGCAGAGCUUGUGGAGUUCGAAGGUCUCCGAACAGCUUGCUGGGGACCCCCGGAAUGCUAGCAGGAGUUCUGCAAAGUUUGGCCCAAUUUUAAGUUGUUUAUUGAAUUACUGGCUCUUACUAAAUGUUGUGAUAAGAAAAACCUACUCAAAUAUGGUGUUUGCCAAAAUGUAACACACUGGAGGACAGGCCAUGAACUCUGGCCAAGCUAGAGUUUGUGUGGACCUCAGGGUAAUACAUCUGCCCUCCCUACUUAAUCCGAGAGUCUUCUGAGGUGGCAAGAUACGAUGCUUUAAAAAAAAAAAAAAAUUAAUGUUUGGAACUACUUCCCCAUGAGCAAGGAUCUGCACAAAAAUGAAACCAAAAUGAAAGCCAUGAACAAAACAAAAGCUU